AUUGAACGCUGGCGGCGUGCUUAACACAUGCAAGUCGAACGUGAAAGUCCUUCGGGAUGAGUAAAGUGGCGCACGGGUGAGUAACGCGUGGCUAAUCUACCUUUAAGACGGGGAUAACGGUUGGAAACGAUCGCUAAUACCGGAUACGCUCCCUAUUUUAUCGUGAGGGGGCAAGAUGGCCUCUGCUUGCAAGCUAUCGCUUAAAGCUGAGUCCGCGUCCCAUUAGCGAGUUGGGGAGGUAAUGACUCACCAAGGCAACGAUGGGUAGCCGGUCGGAGAGGAUGACCGGCCACACUGGAACUGGAACACGGUCCAGACUCCUACGGGAGGCAGCAGUGGGGAAUAUUGCGCAAUGGGCGAAAGCCUGACGCAGCGACGCCGCGUGAGGGAUGAAGGCCUUCGGGUCGUAAACCUCUGUCAGGAGGGAAGAAUGUUCUAGGGGCUAAUAUCUUCUAGAAGUGACGGUACCUCCAAAGGAAGCACCGGCUAACUCCGUGCCAGCCGCCGCCGUAAGAC
rnacentral:rRNA from 1 species